CCAUGCACAUUGUAAGAGAGAAUAUGAAUAGACAAUUCUUUUUUGUAAAGAAGAGAAAGUGUACUAUGAGAUUGUGAACGGCUCAUUAAAUCAGCAAUAAUUUAAUCGGUGGAUGAAAGAGAUUUUGGAGACGGAAUAACUUGAAUUGGGAAAUCUAUAGCUAAUACGUGUAAAGAAAUGCAAUUUGUUAUCGUUUUUUUGGAUGAAUAAGGUUGUAGCGCAUAUUAGAUAGAAAGUUU
rnacentral:rRNA from 1 species